rnacentral:rRNA from 1 species
CCUUCGGGAGCGAGUAAAGUGGCAGACGGGUGAGUAACACGUAGGUAAUCUACCUUUAAGCCUGGGAUAACUAUCUGAAAAGAUAGCUAAUACUGGAUGUAGCAUAUUACCCUCAAGGGUUAUAUGUGAAAGAUGGCCUCUGUUUUAAGCUAUCACUUGAAGAUGAGCCUGCGCACCAUUAGCUAGUUGGUAAGGUAAUGGCUUACCAAGGCAAAGAUGGUUAGCUGGUCUGAGAGGACGUUCAGCCACACUGGGACUGUGACACGGCCCAGACUCCUACGGGAGGCAGCAGUGGGGAAUAUUGCGCAAUGGGGGAAACCCUGACGCAGCGAUGGCGCGUGAGUGAAGAAGGCCUUCGGGUUGUAAAGCUCUGUUGAACAGGAAUAAGAAGUUAUGUUUAAUAAAUGCAACUUUUGACUGUACUGUUAUAGAAAGUACCGGCUAACUCUGUGCCAGCAGACGCGGUAAUACAGAGGGUACAAGCGUUGUUCGGAAUCAUUGGGCGUAAAGGCUACCGUAAGUCGUUCUGUAAGUUAGGUGUGAAAUCCCUGGACUUAACCCAGGAACUGCACCUAAUACUGUAGAACUAGAGCAUAGUAGAGGAAAGCGGAAUUCCUGGUGUAGGGGUAGAAUCCGUAGAUAUCAGGAGGAACACCGGUGGCGAAGGCGGCUUUCUUGGCUAGCUCUGACACUGAGGUACGAAAGCGUGGGGAGCAAACAGGA